UCUCCGGUGAGCCAAUGAGGAGCCUGGGAUUCCAGAGUGGAGAGAAAACGACAGCCUGCCUGGGCCUGCUCCCUGAGAGGAGAGAGAGGAACAUCAGGGGCCUGGCCUGUGGCUCCUUCUCCCCCCCUCCCGCCAGGGUGAAGUUCACCUGGUAGAGAGAAGACACAGGCUGCCUCGUAGAUGGGAGCUAUGACCUUCUGUUGGCAACUGAUUGUUGCCCAGAAAUGAGACUGCUGUUGAACUUCCACAAAAGUGCCAUCAGCUGGCCACAGGGAGGCUUGGCCAGCCGCAUCACAUCCUGUGGUAUGAAGAGUCAUGGCUCCACUCAUCAUUUUGUCUUGUUCUUCCCACAGGCACAUACAACUUCCAGAACUCUUGCUUGUUUGUUUGUUUGUUUUUUAAUAUAUUUAUUUAUUUAUUUAUUUAUGCAUACAAGAGCUGGGGUACAGGCAGCGGUGCGGGGGUGAGAGGAUUCACCAGAGACAGAGUGGAGAGCAGAACAGGCUGAUGGACUGAAAUCCACGGUUAAGGGGGCAGGGGGAGAUAAGGGAGGUCUCCUGCACCCUGUGGGCUGCUCCCUGGCCAUGGAUUGAAGGACCUUGAUGGCUUGACAGUGCUGAGACUUAACCCCUGUGCCAUCAGAGAGGCCCAGCUUCAGAAUGCUUGUAUUCAAAAGCCGGAAGGCACCCAGAUUUGAAGUACUGUCUUGUUUUAUUAUUAUUAUUUUUCUUUUGGAAACUAAAGCUAUAUAGCUGCGGAUUAAGCAGAAUAAAUUUCGAAAGUUAAAAAUGAAAAAAAAUUCAGAAUGGGUUUGUUUGGAUUCACAAACAAGCAGGAGCCAAACUCAGGCCAGAAACCCCAACCCCUUCAUCACUUCAAAAAAAAAAAAAACAAAACCACAAGGAGGUGAC